GCAGUAGUUCAACGGUAGAACAGCGGUCUCCAAAACCGCAUAUGAGGGUUCGAUUCCUUCCUGCC
rnacentral:tRNA from 1 species